rnacentral:misc_RNA from 1 species
CGCACCUUGCGCCUUUUGGUAUUCCGAAAGGCACACCUGUUUGAGUGUCAUGAACCUCUCAACUCCAAUAUUUCUUAAUCGAGAUGUUGGUGCUUGGAUGUUGAGCGCUGCUGUUACCUGUGACAGCUCGCUUUAAAUGUAUUAGCCAACUCUGUACUACUCGGAUUGACUCGGCGUGAUAAGAUCUUCGUCGAGGACGCGUAAAGCGGCCGAAUUGUAUCGGGGUAGCUUCUAACCCGCCUUUGCGCACUUUAAUUUUAGACCUCAAAUCAGGUGGGACUACCCGCUGAACUUAA